UAAUUCCACAGUAGGGAUAGAGGUCCCAUCCUGUAGCAACAGCAGUGUCUGGAAUCUCUGCAGCACUGUUGAGGAACAGGAUGUUGUUAUCCUGGAACUUGCCACAAUCUCAACAAAUGCUGAGCAUUCUUCUGGCAACACAGUAGUGCCUGAAGAUGCAGCAUCUCUUCCAGAUGAAGAAAAGUCAAGUGUAGGGGAAACACCAGGUAGUCAAAGCACCGGUAUAAAGUUAAGGAUAUACAUGGUAGAUUGGAAUUACAUAAGUUAGGAUGAAGUUACUGUACUUGUUAAUCUAUCACAUCUAAUAAGUUUGUCUUUCAGAGUGGAAAUGUGAAGCUGAUGCAACCAGAGCUGCCUGGCUCUACAAGUCCUAAUUACUUGCACAGCAUGAGACCAGAAAGGCUCUUGUCCUGCGAAUGGAUUUGAGGGAAAGUAUAAGCGAUCAAGAGAGAUCACUUCUCUCCUUUUACAAAGAGCCAAAGGUCGAGUGGGCAAACCCUGUCUCCUGCAAACUGGAAGGAGAUGCCGCUGUUGGGGAGGGCGUGAAGAGAUUCUUCUUCUCAAAGACAGUUUCUCUUGUACAGAUUGGUUUUCAUCUGAACUUUGGAAACACAGAUAUUACAAGACUCUUUGAUGGUGAGCCUGAUCACUUGACUCCAUCUACCUCUCAAAUCUUGCUGGAGAGUGACAUGUUCCUAGUGGCAGGAAGAAUGAUGGGCCAUUCAUUCCUUCAUGGUGGACCAUGUGUGUCUGGGCUGAGUCCUGCAAUCAUUCACGUCCUUUUCGGUGGCUCAUCUGAAACAGCUACGAUUCAGAUUGAGGAUUGCCCGGAUAUUGAUAUCCGCAGCACUAUUCAGCUGGUUUGGAAUUUGGUUUCUUUAUUUGUAUUAAAUUAAUUAAAUUUCUUUAAUACCAAAUUUAUAAUGGUUUGUUCUGUAGAAUGGUAUUACUGCUUAUGACCCAUCAUUAUCUUUUUUCAUGCAUUGUAUAGCUUAACAACAGUGCUAAACUAACAGAACAGAACAAAAGAAGUGUUCUUGAGCUGGCACUGUCCUGGGACCUGCCAGGUGUCACACAAACCAACCGACAGUGGCUGUAUGAACGUCUUUUGUUCCACGCUGUCAUAACACGAACAAGCCGCCAAGUAAAGCAGCUGAGGAAAGGGCUCAAGGAGACCAUGGUGUGGCCGCUACUCACAGACAGACCUGACAUUAUUCCCCUGUUCUUACCAAGGGAAUCAGAGACUGCUCCCUCC